rnacentral:misc_RNA from 1 species
GCAUACGCGCGCACACCGUAGACUGAGAGUUGUAACUUAGAGCACAAUACAGGCGCUACGUGUGUAUGUGCGUGUGUGCGUGGUACCACACGUUGCAUUCUCACUUUAGAAACACCUUAGAUCAAGCCACCAACUCUACUUUUUCGCUCCUACACAAGACAGACACAGAAGGAGCAGCACACUCACAGCCAUAUCAUUAUCAUCCUCCUCUCCCUUACGAUAACGACGACGACGGCCACCACCACCAUCCUCUCUGUCCGACUACAGAACUCACGCAGAACACACGCGCAGAGGUCAACUCCGCUCAUCAAUAAGGUCUGUCGAUCCUUUUCUCUGUCUCCUUGGGUCCUACACAGGCUGGACGCACACCCCACGGCACACACGCACGCGCACUCGUUCUCUCCCUCCCUCGAGGCGAUUGCCAUCCUUGCAGCAGCAAAGACGAGGACACGUGCGAGGCCAUGUCGUCGUCUAGCAUCAAGGUGGCGGUGCGCUGCCGCCCGCUCUUUGGGCAGGAGCGCCCGGCCGGCGGCCUUGACAUUCAGAGCCGCCGCAUCCUGCUCGACUCCAAGACUUAUGACCCAGACUUCACCUUUUCUCCUACGUCGACGCAGGAGGACGUCUUCCAGGCAUGUCGGCCGAUACUGCAAUGCGUGAAAGAGGGCAUGAACGGCACGAUUAUGGUCUACGGCCAGACCGGCACCGGCAAGACGUACACCAUGCUUGGCAGCGAGGACGGCGAGCAAGGCCUGGUGCACAAGGUAGUAGCGAACAUGCUAGAGCAUGUGCAGCGGAAGAUUGCAGACGGCGCACAGUGCGCGCUGACGCUGUCCAUGAUCGAGAUCUACAACGAGCGCCUCACGGACAUGCUCAGUCCGAAUGGGGAGGAAGAGGUGACGCUCAUCUCCGGCUUCCCGCGCUUCACCCACAAGGCGACGCUGUGCAGAGUCAACGACGCCAUUGAGACGAUCCAGCGUGGCCUGUCGUGGCGCCACACGGCGGCAACGCUGAUGAACGAGCGCAGCAGCCGCUCGCACGUCGUCUUUAUCUUCGACAUGGAGGAGUACAAUGCCUUCACGGAGCAGACCGAGGUGGCGCAUCUGUUCAUGAUCGACCUGGCAGGGUCGGAGAGUUUGAAGAAGUCCCAGGCCUCCGGCGUCGCGGCAGGCGAGGCUGGCAAGAUCAACAAGUCGCUGCUGGCCUUGAAAAGUGUCUUCCUCGCGCUGUCCAACACGAAUGAGGCGACGCGGCCCAGCCAUGUGCCGUACCGCGACUCGAAACUGACAGAGCUGCUACAGGACUCCAUCGGCGGCACUGCCCGGACGCUCAUGAUCGCCUGCAUCUCGUCCGUUGGCCGCGACAUCGAGGAGACCAAGUCGACGCUGCUCUACGCCGUCAAGGCCCGCAGCAUCCGCAACGCCGCCAACACGGAGAAAGAGAAGCUGCUUGUCCGGCUGCGCUCGAUGGAGGUCGAGAACCAGAAACUGCGCAACCGCCUGCAGGAGCGGGUGAACGAGCGGGGCGGGUACUACGUAACAAAGGAGGAACAUGAGCAGACGCAGGAGAUGGCUGAGUCGUACGACCAGCUUAAGGAGGCGGUUGAGCAGCUCAUGCAGGACCGUCAGAGCAGCGACGCGCGGCAGCACAUAUGGGAAUCUCAGGUGAAGGUGCUGAAGGCGCUCUUGGUGGAUAAAGAGGCGGAGCUGCAGAACUUCAAGGAGGUGUACCAUGAAGCACUGAAGCGAUUCGAGCAUCAGGCUGCUGCACUCCAAGGCGUGAUACGCGGUGGGGUCGCGGAGGCCAAGGACGCAGUGAAGACUUCCUUCGCGGACAACUACGCGCGUCUACAGGCGUGGCGCACAGAACUGCUCAACUCGCUGGAGGAGCCCGUGCCCACCACUCUCCCGCCGCCGCCUCUCUCGCCCGCUUGUUGUUCGCAGAACGACGCCGCUGCUGCGACGGCCGUGGCGAAUGAGGAGGAGGUGCAGCGUCAGAAGGCAGACGACAGCGCCUUCCGGUGCCCUCUAGACGCCGUUGCCGCAAUGUCUCCAGAACGGCGCAGCUGCCCGCCGCCUCCCUCGCAGGCCUUCCCCAGUGGCGGCACUCAGUCGUUGUCGCAGACAGCAGGUAGUCGUGGCGUCGCAGGCCCCGUCCCUGAUGGAUCCCCCUCGCGGACAGCCGUCGCAGCUGCUGCGGUCUCCCACCCUGGUCGGGCCAUGGCUGUUGCCGCUCCGUACUCCGCACGCGGUAGCACCACGUCAUCUCUCCAGCGCGGCAGCGUCACCUCAGGCGCACCGUCGGCCUCGGUGAGUCCGACACGCCGCGCCGUUCGUCCUCGGUGCGGCGGUGGUGGCGCCGCGGCCAGCAACGGCCCUCGCCGUUGCCCCGUGGGCAACAGUAACGGCACUGGCGCUCUUCGAGGGAGCGGCGCUCCACCACUGUCGUCUCCGCCCCUCGGCGCCUGUCCGCCUCCGCCGCUGACACCGCUUCCUGCCACCGCUGUGACUGACGUGCCGGCAAAGGACGGUAGCGAGGAAUACUGCGGCUCGACGCUGGCCACCAGCGUGAUGGACGCGUCAGCGCCCCUGCUCGUAUCGCGAACUACAAGCAGCUCCGUGGCGCCGCCAGCGUGGUCUGCCGUGAUGGCGGAGUACGACGCGCAGUGUCUUCGCACUGUGCGCCGGCUGAACAAGUCGGUGGAUGCACUGCUCAGCGAGUGUCUGAAGCUCUUCACCGACUACAAGGAGCACGCGGAGCGGGCGGAGCUCAAGCGGCAGCGCGGCGUUGAAGAAGUCUGCCAGCGACUGCGUACCGAUCUAGACUCGAGUCUGAAGCAGCUGCAGCGAGUCGAGGCAGUCGGCGAGCGCGAUGUGCAGGAGGCGCGUGAACGGUUCAGCGAUCGGCUCCGGCUGAGGGCCAAAAUGCCGUCCUUGGCGGACGCGGCGCCGUUCCAGUUGGCGGUGCGUGAUGCGUGUGCAGAGGUGAUACGACACGCCACCCACUUCUUCCCCCAUGCAAGCACCCCCGCCGAUGCCGAGGCAGCGCUAGACGUCAUCGUGCGCAAUGUGCAGCGCUGCAGUGCCACCUUCACCCUUCAGGCCUUGGGCCCGCUGUCGUCGAGCGCCGUCAGCGCCCAUGCUGCCUCGGUCGUGGCGUGUGGCACCACAACAUCGUCGUCGUCCGCGGCCAGCUCGCCCAUUGUAGGCCGCGCGGUGGGUGCGUGGGGCGGCGGCGGUGGUAGCAGCAGCCCACAGCUGGCGAGUUUCGUACCCAUGCCACCACUGACGGCCACUCUCCCGCGCGAGUCACCGGCGGCGGCGCCCCUGUGCUCUCUGACAGGAUCGCCAGGCAAGGAAGAGGUGCGGGAGAGGGGCUCUGUUAGUGGUCACCUCCUGCAGGGGUCUCGAGGGACAAUGCACGUGUCGGCGUCUCAGCAGCAGCAGCAGAGUGCGCGACCGUCAUCGCUACGCGGCAGCGCGACACUCACGACAAUGCCUGUAAACUGCAGCCGCGGCGGUGACGGCCGUCGUGGUGGCAGUGGCAGCAACGUACCGAGACCUCACAAGCGAACACGCAGCGCUGCUGCCUCUUCGACGUCUUCUGGCGGAGGAGCGCCGUCCUCCUCUCGCCGCACGACGGCCACGCGUCGAUCCGGUCACUGACACACACACACGCCCGUGCGCACCCGAGAAGGCGCGCUUCAGCCUGUGCAAUGCGCGCAUGAGAGACAUCAUCGUCACCCCUCCCCUCCAUCGUGUACGUCUGUGCGUGUGUGGGCGCGCAUCCAAACAUGUACACAGGCGCAUGAGGCCAGUGGAUCGAGAUGACACGAUAACGGACGCUGUGACCCGGCAUUGAGCGGCAGGGUGGGAAGCCUUUGGUUAGAACAAGAAGGAGCUGUGCUGUCACGCACGGGGCUCUGCAACACACCGCCAUGCGCCAUCGCCCCGACCCUUUCCCCGU